UACGGGGGGAGCAAGCGUUGUUCGGAUUUACUGGGCGUAAAGGGCGCGUAGGCGGCGAAACAAGUCACUUGUGAAAUCUCCGGGCUUAACCCGGAGCGGCCAAGUGAUACUGUUGUGCUAGAGUGCAGAAGGGGCAACUGGAAUUCUCGGUGUAGCGGUGAAAUGCGUAGAUAUCGAGAGGAACACCUGCGGCGAAGGCGGGUUGCUGGGCUGACACUGACGCUGAGGCGCGAAAGCCAGGGGAGCGAACGGG
rnacentral:rRNA from 1 species